GGAAACAGAUUUCCUCUUUUACCAGCCUACUAGUAUCCCUAGGGAUCCAUAAGGGGUCCCCUCUACACGUGAACCAUUAACAUUUACAACCUGAUUCCAGGGCCGUCCCCAUACCUCGUCCGGUAUGGGCGCCAAAACCAUGAACCUCAAUACCCCGUCCGGUAUAAGGGUGAAACGGGCCGUCCCCAUACCCCGUCCGGUAUGGGCGCCAAAACACAUAAGGUCUCCAUACCCCGUCCGGUAUGAGAGACCACGUUCCCGGUAGGGUUCCCUACAGACCUGGUCCGUCCACCAUCUCCCAGGAUAUCUAGUCAGGCUGUCCACAUUUUCCACUUAUCAAUUCACAUAACCUUUUUGCUUUUUUUCUUAAUCUUAAUCAUUCAAUCAUACAAAAUAUAUAAACCAGUAAU
rnacentral:lncRNA from 1 species